rnacentral:rRNA from 1 species
UACAGAGGGUGCAAGCGUUAAUCGGAAUUACUGGGCGUAAAGCGUGCGUAGACGGUCAUGUAAGUCGGGUGUGAAAGCCCCGGGCUCAACCUGGGAAUUGCAUUCGGGACUGCAUGGCUAGGGUGCGGAAGAGGGAAGCGGAAUUUCCGGUGUAGCGGUGAAAUGCGUAGAUAUCGGAAGGAACACCAGUGGCGAAAGCGGCUUCCUGGUCCAGCACCGACGUUCAGGCACGAAAGCUAGGGGAGCAAACAGG